UUGAAUAAACCCAAGCUGAUGUGCCGUCGCAUGCGGAGACGCUCGACGCGCAUUGGGGGAGCCGGCUCACACCGGUUUCUGACCCUCUGUGUGGACCUCCGAUGGCCACGUUAAACGGAGCGAGAGUGAACCUCCGCCCCGCGCUCCAGACGAUCGAGUCGGGUCUGGAGCGCGUUGUCCCUACCGAACAGCAUUAAACAUACGGGACAGGCUAUGGCCACAUCACCCAUCCUAACUACAUGAAUGAAACAGUUUAAUUA
rnacentral:misc_RNA from 1 species